AAUUUAAAAAUAUUUGCAUCACACGGAGUUUGGUUCUUGUAUUUGAGACUGUCUUCUCUGUUUCUUUGAGAUUUCAUUUAAUUGUUUCUUUAUUCUAAAUCGUGCUUUCGUAUAUCUACUUUAAUUAUUGAGUAAAUCAAAGAAAUCGAGAAUUGUCAUUGUACCUUUUCACUUUCAUCUCAAUUCGUCGGAAUUCAACAGUCUAGAUAAUGUUACCAUUGAAUUUAUUGAAAAAAUCCCAAAAUCAUCCUAUGCUAGUAGAAUUGAAGAAUGGUGAAACAUUCAACGGACUUCUGGUUUCAUGUGAUAACUGGAUGAAUAUCAACUUACGCGAAGUGAUCUGUACUUCUAGAGAUGGUGACAAAUUUUGGAAGAUAAGUGAAUGUUAUAUCAAAGGUACGACAAUUAAAUAUCUUCGAAUCCCUGAUGAGGUCAUCGAUCAAGUCAAAGAGGAAAUGAACACUAAACAACCGAGACGUGAUUUAAAACGAGGCCCACCUCCAAGUGGUGGUAGAGCUAAAUUUCAAAAAUGAGUAAUUCCAAAACUAGAAGCUAAUUACAGCCAGUUCAAUCAUAACAAUAUUUAUAAAUAUAAAAAUAAAUGUAUUGUAUAUGAAUUAUUAUUAAUAUUGCAUAUACUUUUGUUUUAAUUCA